rnacentral:rRNA from 1 species
UACAGAGGUCCCAAGCGUUGUUCGGAUUCAUUGGGCGUAAAGGGUGUGUAGGUGGCGCCGUAAGUCGGGUGUGAAAACUCUGGGCUCAACCCAGAGAUGCCACCCGAUACUGCCGUGACUGGAGUGCGGUAGGGGAGUGGGGAAUUCCUGGUGUAGCGGUGAAAUGCGCAGAUAUCAGGAGGAACACCAGUGGCGAAGGCGCCACUCGUGGGCCGUAACUGACGCUGAGGAGCGAAAGCGUGGGUAGCAAACAGG